GGCUGAGAAGAGAGAGACAGGUGAAGUCAUUACAUGAUGGGAACACCAGGAGAACAAUGCAUCAACAGAAGGCAUUUCAGAAACUGUGAGACAAGGCAGAGUGAGGUUUGGGGGAGAGAGGGCUCCUUCCUAAAAGUGACUUCCUGUUUUGCAUGUACAGAUCCAUGGCAUGCCAGGGAUCUCUCUGUGUCUCCACCCUCUCAAAAUGCAUAGAAGUUAUAGCAGAAACCGACAGGAAGGCAGAAAAAGGCUGGGAUUUGCUCACUGACACACAAUCUGUCAACAAAACACCUGAGGAUCUCUGUGCUCCAGUCCUUUUUGUAAACUUGAUGCUUCUCUUUCAGUUCAGAUUGGUUCAAAUAACUUUAAAUGAGCUAUGCACUUGAUUAAAUUCCUCUAGUCAAAUGGUUUGUAAUUGAGGAGGGAAGCGAUGGCAGUAUUGGCAGACUUCUGUGGACUAAGUACUUACUGAUUUUUUUUUUAAACUCUCUACUUCUGGAAUCCACACAUUGAAAUCUCAGCUAUGCUUCUUUAAAAAUGUCUGGCCUGCUGAGUUGCAGGGAAAAAGACAAAAAUGAUCUUCAAAAGGGAAACAUACAGCAUUCAUGACACACUAUUUUUACUUGUUUUUCCUGUGGACUUGGCUGAUGAUUUUUUGGCUCAGAAAUUCAUGUCCUUCACCACAUUUGUUCUGGACUCUGGCCUUUCAGCUGGCAGAGGCAUUUCUCCUGAUCCUCUCUACACUUCUUGGUUGUUUUUGCAGUCUGCGCUAUCAGUUGUAAUAAAUUGUGCUAAGCUAA